rnacentral:lncRNA from 12 species
UGCAUACUAACUAGGAUUCUGGCACAAUCAGAAGAAACAAGAAAACCCUUGAGAGCAUGGUUAGGGUUGAAACAGAGUACAAGCAGCUUGUUUUAUUUGCUACUGUGAAAGGCAAGCUCCGCUGUGCUAAACCUUGUUCUCUUGGCAACUAGUUGAUAAAUACAAAAUGCUCCAACAAAUAAUUCUUUUACCCUUUGCUCAGAGUGAGCAGAUCCGAAAGGGACGAGAAGUUGCUAUUAUUGCAAUUAAAGAGCUGUGCAGGGGGAAGGAAGAAACCCAAAAUCUGCUACUGGCGACUGGCCCCUCCACCCAGAAUGUCCAAGCAGCCACCAAGAGAGAAGCCAGACAUCUCACCUCUGACGAACACAGAGAUAUUUUUAGCUCAGUAGUGCAAUCUGCAACUUUUAAGUGCACUGGAACAGGAAAGUCCCUUGCUGAAAGCAGUGAGUGGCCCUUCAGGAACCUCUGACAGAGCAUAUUCCCCACCAACAUGAAUCUACCUCCAUCACCUGCAUGAGUCCACAGGGAUAACAUGCAAACACAGACAGAAUGGACAAAGGGGACGGCGGGUAAGGAACAGCUUUGAUUUCUGUGAUCCACAGAUCUGUUGACUGAUUACACAGAACAGAGAUCCGUCCGGUUCAGACAAGGACAGUUUAGACUUGGACAUGCUGUUUUGUUUUCCAGCUUUAUAAGAAGAUGUUCUUUUUCUGCAGCCCAUACAUCUUUCAAAACAUGGUGACAGUUUUAAAAAGGGGUUUCAAAACGCUGUUACUGGAUUAUUCUAUGGUACUCUGAAUUGUAGCCAAGAAAUGAACCAAACACUUUUCUCCAGCUCUCUUGCAAGGCAAGUUGUUGACAGGAGGAGCAAG